GCUUACGGCCACACCGGCCUGAGUACGCCUGAUCUCGUCCGAUCUCGGAAGCUAAGCAGGUCGGCCUGGUUAGUACUUGGGAUGGGAGACCGCCUGGGAAUACCAGGUGCUGUAAGCU
rnacentral:rRNA from 1 species